rnacentral:ncRNA from 13 species
AUCACGAUAGCUCAAGUGGUAGAGCAUCGGCUUAUUUAGCCGAAGGUCGUGGGUUCGAAUCCCGCUCGUGACA